rnacentral:rRNA from 1 species
GACGAACGCUGGCGGCGUGCUUAACACAUGCAAGUCGAGCGGUAAGGCCCUUUCGGGGUACGACGAGCGGCGAACGGGUGAGUAACACGUGGGUGACCUGCCCUCAGCUCUGGGAUAAGCCUGGGAAACGUAGGGUCUAAUACUGGAUAUGACUCCACGGUGCAUGUCGUGGGGUGGAAAGCCUUGUGCGGCUGAGGAUGGGCCCGCGGCCUAUCAGCUUGUUGGUGGGGUGGAUGGCCUACCAAGGCGACGACGGGUAGCCGG